rnacentral:tRNA from 1 species
UCCAGGGUAGCCUAGUGGACAUGGCAUCUGCCCGGUAAGCGGAACGUUGUGGGUUCGAUUCCCGCCCCUGGAC